GACGAACGCUGGCGGCGUGCUAAACCCAUGAAGGUGAAACGAAAGGGCCCGCCUUUUGGGGGUGCCUGAGGGGCCAACCGGGGAGUAAACACUGAGGUACCCUGCCUUGAACUUGGGAAAAACUUAGGAAAACGGGGCCUAUAACGGAUUAGAGCCUCUGCCUCCUGGUUGGGGGUUGGAAAGUUCGGCGGUUGGGGAUGGACGCGCGGCGUAUUAGCUUGUUGGUGGGGUAGUGGCUUACCAAGGCUUUGACGGGUAGCCGGCCUGAGAGGGUGACCGGCCACAUUGGGACUGAGAUACGGCCCAGACUCCUCCGGGAGGCAGCAGUGGGGAAUAUUGCACAAUGGGCGGAAGCCUGAUGCAGCAACGCCGCGUGCGGGAUGACGGCCUUCGGGUUGUAAACCGCUUUCGCCUGUGACGAAGCGUGAGUGACGGUAAUGGGUAAAGAAGCACCGGCUAACUACGUG
rnacentral:rRNA from 1 species